rnacentral:rRNA from 1 species
UACGAAGGGGGCUAGCGUUGUUCGGAAUUACUGGGCGUAAAGCGCGCGCAGGCGGUCUUCCAAGUCAGUGGUGAAAGCCCGGAGCUCAACUCCGGAAUUGCCAUUGAAACUGUUAGACUUGAGGAUGAGAGAGGUGAGUGGAAUUCCCAGUGUAGAGGUGAAAUUCGUAGAUAUUCGCAAGAACACCAGUGGCGAAGGCGGCUCACUGGCCCGAUACUGACGCUGAGGCACGAAAGCGUGGGGAGCAAACAGG